AUUGAACGCUGGCGGCAUGCCUUACACAUGCAAGUCGAACGGCAGCACGGGAGCAAUCCUGGUGGCGAGUGGCGAACGGGUGAGUAAUAUAUCGGAACGUGCCCAGUCGUGGGGGAUAACGCAGCGAAAGCUGUGCUAAUACCGCAUACGAUCUACGGAUGAAAGCGGGGGACCGCAAGACCUCGCGCGAUUGGAGCGGCCGAUAUCAGAUUAGCUAGGUGGUGGGGUAAAGGCCCACCAAGGCGACGAUCUGUAGCUGGUCUGAGAGGGCGACCAGCCACACUGGAACUGAGACACGGUCCAGACUCCUACGGGAGGCAGCAGUGGGGAAUUUUGGACAAUGGGCGCAAGCCUGAUCCAGCAAUGCCGCGUGCAGGAUGAAGGCCUUCGGGUUGUAAACUGCUUUUGUACGGAACGAAACGGCCCUUUCUAAUACAGGGGGCUAAUGACGGUACCGUAAGAAUAAGCACCGGCUAACUACGUGCCAGCAGCCGCAGUAA
rnacentral:rRNA from 1 species